UACGGGGGGAGCAAGCGUUGUUCGGAUUUACUGGGCGUAAAGGGCUCGUAGGUGGCCAACUAAGUCAGACGUGAAAUCCCUCGGCUUAACCGGGGAACUGCGUCUGAUACUGGAUGGCUUGAGUUCGGGAGAGGGAUGCGGAAUUCCAGGUGUAGCGGUGAAAUGCGUAGAUAUCUGGAGGAACACCGGUGGCGAAGGCGGCAUCCUGGACCGAUACUGACACUGAGGAGCGAAAGCCAGGGGAGCAAACGGG
rnacentral:rRNA from 1 species